GACGAACGCUGGCGGCGUGCCUAACACAUGCAAGUCGAGCGGAGAACAGGGAAGUGCUUGCACGGAACUGUUUUUAGCGGCGGACGGGUGAGUAACGCGUGAACAAGCUGUCCUUCACAGGGGGAUAACACUUGGAAACAGGUGCUAAUACCGCAUAAGACCACAGGGGUGCAUGCUCCGGGGGUCAAAGGAGCAAUCCGGUGAGGGGUGCGUUCGCGUCCCAUUAGAUAGUUGGCGGGGCAACGGCCCACCAAGUCGACGAUGGGUAGCCGACCUGAGAGGGUGAUCGGCCACACUGGGACUGAGACACGGCCCAGACUCCUACGGGAGGCAGCAGUGGGGAAUAUUGGGCAAUGGGCGAAAGCCUUACCCAGCAACGCCGCGUGAGGGAAGAAGGUUUUCGGAUUGUAAACCUCUGUCCUGGGGGACGAAGGAAGUGACGGUAUCCCGGGAGGAAGCCCCGGCUAACUACGUG
rnacentral:rRNA from 1 species